rnacentral:rRNA from 1 species
AUACCCUACUAUGCUUAACCCUAAACAUUGCUAAAACCAUGCACUAUUUUAUCCGCCCGAGUACUACAAGCGCCAGCUUCAAACCCAAAGGACUUGGCGGUACCUUAGAUCUCUCUAGAGGAGCCUGUUCUAUAACCGAUAAUCCCCGUUAAACCUCACCAUUCCUUGCUAUUAACCGCCUAUAUACCGCCGUCGUCAGCUCACCCCAUGAGGGAGUAAAAGUAAGCAAAAUGGACUCAUUCUCCAAUACGUCAGGUCGAGGUGUAGCGAAUGAAAUGGAAAGAAAUGGGCUACAUUUUCUUUUAAGAAAAAACGAACAGUACAAUGAAAAAUUACUCAAAGGUGGAUUUAGUAGUAAGAAAAUCUUAGAAUAUUCUUCUGAAAUUGGCUCUGAGGUGCGUACACACCGCCCGUCACUCUCCUCAUUACAAAAACCUUCUUUUAUAUAAACAAACUCACUCCUAAAGAGGAGACAAGUC